ACGGGAGGCAGCAGUGGGGAAUAUUGCACAAUGGGGGAAACCCUGAUGCAGCAACGCCGCGUGAGUGAAGAAGUAUUUCGGUAUGUAAAGCUCUAUCAGCAGGGAAGAUAAUGACGGUACCUGACUAAGAAGCUCCGGCUAAAUACGUGCCAGCAGCCGCGGUAAUACGUAUGGUGCAAGCGUUAUCCGGAUUUACUGGGUGUAAAGGGAGCGUAGGCGGUCAUGCAAGUCUGAUGUGAAAACCCGGGGCUCAACUUCGGGAUUGCAUUGGAGACUGUAAGACUAGAGUGUCGGAGGGGUAAGUGGAAUUCCUAGUGUAGCGGUGAAAUGCGUAGAUAUUAGGAGGAACAUCAGUGGCGAAGGCGGCUUACUGGGCUUUAACUGACGCUGAGGCUCGAAAGCGUGGGGAGCAAACAGGAUUAGAUACCCUGGUA
rnacentral:rRNA from 1 species